CUUCCACUAGAUGUCAACGAUCUUUAUAAAGUUGUUUGAAGCGUCUAUGAUAAACAGAGAGAAAAUUAGAAUGCAAGGAAGUUGACAUGUCAUCACUUCAUUUUUUUGCGCCUGCGCAUAAAUCUGAGAAGCGUGAGUUUGUCAUUAAUUGUUUAUCAAGACAUAGGAUAGGUUGUGUGAAAAUAUUACUGAUGUUUAACGUUAAAAAUGGACCAAAAGAUUAAUGCUAAACAAGGUUUGACAUGUUUGAACGAACGUAAAUAGAUUAUUUACUAGGUUUUUUUUAGCUUUUCGGCGUGAUUUUACAACCUCCCCCACCACGUUUUGUGGGAGCAUAAUGAACGCUAACUACUUGGUGUUAUUUGGACAUAAAUUAUGAACUUUGUCAAAAGAAACCACAUUUGUUCCGGACCUGGGAUUCCUGGCAGUGCCUUCUGAUGGAGAUAAUCAAAGCUCCACUCCCUUUCCUGUUCCAUCUCCCCUUUCUCUCCCACCUUCUCUCCCUCCCUCUCUCGCUUCUUCCAUCUCCCCUGUCCCUUCCCUCCUCCUCCCCGUCUGCAGAUUUCAACAGAGAAAAGAGGAGCUCGUUGGAGUAUGAACGAAACACCAGAGGGUGCCAAAGCUUUUUCUGUUUGAAGUGUGAUGACCACCACUCUGUUGGAAGUGUGAUGACCACCACUCUGUUGGAAGUGUGAUG
rnacentral:lncRNA from 1 species